rnacentral:tRNA from 1 species
AUUUUGGUGGCUGAUUAAGGCGAUAGAUUGUAAAUCUUUUCAUGGUGUAUUCCACCCCUUAGGAUU